rnacentral:rRNA from 1 species
AAACCAGCACCUCAAGUGGUCAGGAUGAUUAUUGGGCCUAAAGCAUCCGUAGCCGGCUCUGUAAGUUUUCGGUUAAAUCUGUACGCUUAACGUACAGGCUGCCGGGAAUACUGCAGAGCUAGGGAGUGGGAGAAGUAGACGGUACUCGGGAGGAAGUGGUAAAAUGCUUUGAUCUCUCGAUGACCACCUGUGGCGAAGGCGGUCUACUAGAACACGUCCGACGGUGAGGGAUGAAAGCUGGGGGAGCAAACCGGAUUAGAAACCCCAGUAGUCC